GCGGUCGCAGUUGGCUGGGCUGCGCGGUCUUGAAAACCGUCGUGGCAGCGAUGUCACCGUGGGUUCAAAUCCCACACCCACCGCA
rnacentral:tRNA from 1 species